rfam:Dipodomys ordii contig_14864, whole genome shotgun sequence.
GGGAAGGUAGCUCAGUGGUAGAGUGCUUGUCUUGCAUGCAUGAGGCCCUGGGUUCGAUUCCUUAGCACCA